UACAGAGGGGGCAAGCGUUAUUCGGAAUUAUUGGGCGUAAAGGGCGCGUAGGCGGCUUGGCAAGUGGGUGGUGAAAUCCCUCGGCUUAACCGAGGAACUGCCGUCCAAACUGCUUUGCUUGAGGCCGGGAGAGGUGAGUGGAAUUCACAGUGUAGCGGUGAAAUGCGUAGAUAUUGGGAGGAACACCAGUGGCGAAGGCGGCUCGCUGGACCGGUUCUGACGCUGAAGCGCGAAAGCGUGGGGAGCAAACGGG
rnacentral:rRNA from 1 species